GAAAUGCGAUACGUAAUGUGAAUUGCAGAAUUCAGCGAAUCAUCGAAACCUUGAACGCACACUGCACCUGGAAGACCACUUCCAGGUACAUCUAUUUGAGUGUCGGUUACUAAUCUCACCCAUAAACACUUGCUGUUUGUGAGUGGACUUGAACCUCAAGAAGAACACUAUUCUUCCUGUUGUUUGAAAUACAUAAUUGUUGGUAGUUUUACUGUAUCACUAACACAGUUAACUAACCAUGAUCAAGAAGUUUGUGUCUUUUACUAGACAUAUAUAACAUCCUGAUUAUGUUGUUACUAAUACCUGUGUCAUUUACUGUAAAACACUAUACUCCAACAACAAUCAAGGAUACCUGUACUUCUUCAACUUCUCGACCUCAAAUUAGAUGGGACUACCUGCUGAAUUUAA
rnacentral:misc_RNA from 1 species